rnacentral:lncRNA from 1 species
GUUUCCUUUUUCAGUUACCGGCUAGACAUUCACAAAAUAGAUCUUAUUUUUUAUUUUUAAAAAUAUUUUAUUUAUUUAUUCAUGAGAGACACAGAGAGAGAGGCAGAGACACAGGCAGAGGGAGAAGCAGCCUCCCUGCAGCAACCCUGGUGGGACCCAAUCCCAGGACCCCGAGAUCAUGCCCUGAGCCAAAGGCAGACACUCAACCACUGAGCUACCCAGGUGUCCCUAGAUUUUACUUUUUAAAGAUAACCUAAAACUUUUUUUUUAAGUGUGAGAAAGGGCAAGAUUAGAGAAAUAUCUUACAUGGGGAAUGUCUUGGGUUCGUACAGCUACGAUCAGAGAACGACCCUGUUAAUGACAUUAUCGUCCCUCUCAAAGGUGUAUAGCUUGCAGAUUAUUUUUAAAUGUUUCAGGAGACCAGUGACUUCCAAAUUUGGAAACAGCUGGGUCCUUCUCUUUAGCAACCGCCUUCUUCCCCUCCUCUGCACUAUCGAAUAAUAUUAAAAAUACCUCUUAUUAAACCCCUUGUAUUCUCCUCUUCCUGCUGCACUUUUCUCCCACCUCGUCAGUGUCCCGAUAAGCAGGGAACACCUGAUUUUUUUGUUUCUGAUAAGCCAAUGCCUUGUAGCCUGUGGGCGGGUCCCUGGCUUGUUGAAGCCGGAGCUGACCUGAGGGGAGGAAGUAGGUCCGCAAGAGUGGAGUAGCUGAGGCCAUUUUAUCACUACUGACUUAUCUUCAAAAAACAGAAGGAAGAAACAGAAUCAAAGUCUGAUAACCUAGCAAACAAUCUUAAACCAGCAAAGACACACUUGGCAGUUGCUUGCAAUGCUGAGCUCUUACUCAAGAACUAAGAAACGAAGUCAUGCUGGUGCUGUAUCAUUUGGAGGUAAACAGAUGGCAAGUCAAUGAACCCUUGCAGAGCCACUGCGUUACUCUAGAAACUCCGGGGAUGUCGCGAUGCUCAAGGCGUGACCAUAAAACAGUGCCAGCCUCCCAUAUCCUGCCCAAGAGUUCCCCGGUCUGGGAAGAUGAGUCCCCCUCACCCUCCUGCAUCCAGGCCACUGAGUCUGCUCCGCGCUGCUCUUCCUCCAAACACGGUCUCCGUCAUGCCCGUUUGUGCAGGUCCACCGAGCUCCCAAAGGCAGUCUCCAGGAGGCUGGGACAAGGAUGGAGGAGGCCGGUUUUCUCACCUCCCGCCACCGCACACCUCCCCUGGUUGGCUGACUCAGCCUCUUGGCGUCGACUCGUGGAGUCUGAGUCACUUGGCUUCUGUGUCCGCCUGUUCCGAGUGUUCGGGCCCAGGUGA